UACAGAGGUCUCAAGCGUUUGUUCGGGAUUCAUUGGGCGUAAAGGGCGCGUAGGCUGCGGGGCAAGUCGGGUGUGAAAUCUCAGAGCUCAACUCUGAAACUGCACUCGAUACUGCUUUGCUCGAGGACUGGAGAGGAGAUUGGAAUUCACGGUGUAGCAGUGAAAUGCGUAGAUAUCGUGAGGAAGACCAGUGGCGAAGGCGGAUCUCUGGACGAGUUCCUGACG
rnacentral:rRNA from 1 species